GAUGAAGAACGUAGCGAAAUGCGAUAAGUAAUGUGAAUUGCAGAAUUCAGUGAAUCAUCGAAUCUUUGAACGCACAUUGCGCCCGCCAGUAUUCUGGCGGGCAUGCCUGUUCGAGCGUCAUUUCAACCAUCAAGCCCCCGGCUUGUGUUGGGGACCUGCGGCUGCCGCAGGCCCUGAAAUGCAGUGGCGGGCUCGCUGUCACUCCGAGCGUAGUAGUUACAUCUCGCUCUGGGCGUGCUGCGGGUUCCGGCCGUUAAAAGCCUUAUUUACCCAAGGUUGACCUCGGAUCAGGUAGGAAGACCCGCUGGACUUAAGCAUAUCAAUAAGCGGAGGA
rnacentral:misc_RNA from 1 species